UGCAGGAGGCUCCUCUUUACAUUGUUCACAUCACAUUCUCCGUCUUUUAAGGAAUAAUGGUUUUCGAGAGAAGUUGCUAGAUAGUGGCUAGACACUGUUGGAAUGACUUAGUGACCAUUGGGCUGACAGGCUAAAUCUCUGUGAAGCUCUGCGUCCAAAAUCCUAACCGUUAACGAUAUCCUGAUGCUAACUCUGCCCUUCUCUCUCUCUCACUGCCUUUCAGACUGACUGUUCCAUGGCCCCUCAUCUUCUGUCUUCUUAGCCGGAAAAGAACCAUGUAGUCUGAACAUCUUCUGAUAUGACAUCGGAAUCUUGAAAUAAGUGACCUGUGUAUUCCACUGGGGAUUUUUAAAUACUCUUUAGUCACACUCUAUGGACAUCUACUAUCAGAGGCCCUGCCAGGUUCCUAGAGGAAGAAGAGCUACGAUUAACUCUCACACACGUUCAUUGCCAGAAGUCACAAGUGCUGACAGGGGAAAUAUUACAACCAAUUCACUGACAGAAAUUGGCAACGCAGGUGAUUAGGCUGGCAGGUUAGGAUGGUGUCAGUCUCAGUUGAGCUGAUGCAAAAGUUGGGGUUUGAACAAAUGCAUUUUGGCCACAAUGUUCUCAGCACCCAGACGCUCUUGACAAUUAACAUGCAGGAUGGUCUUUUAAUUAAGAAGGGUUAGUGGUGACUUCCAGGUUAUUCAUCUUCAUUCCAGGUAGCAAAUGCUGCAGCAGUGCCUUUACCACAAGGCAUGGAACCUUAUAUUCUGCAUUAAGUAUUUCGUUUUGGAACUGCAUAAUGUUAAUAUACGGUGGCCCCGAAAGGAAAGGUAUUAAUUUAUAAUACAUUAAUAUGCCCCUCUCUGUGUUUUCAAACAUUGCCGGACAUGGGUGAUGUGCACAAUUUGGAUGCAGAACAUGGCGGAGUUCUCAUAUACCGUCAGCAAAAAAAGCCUCAUUUUACAUGGCGCUUUUGAGUGCAUUUCACACUACUUUUGGAUUAUAAUUGGAUUUUAAGGCUUUCAUGAAUGUCCUGCUUAAUAUAAUGUUUGUGUUAUUGUCACAACACAGUAUUAUACUUAAAAAACACUUCAACUUCAACCAGUAAAAUGGCUCUUUGACCUGCUUUGCUACCAGCCAUGUCAAUGAGUGUUAGCAUUCUAGCUAACAACUGCUGCAUCCAAAAUAGGUAUUAUCCAAAGAUCACAACCAAAUAAAUGUAUAAUCUUAAGGCCAAAUGCAACCAUCGAUGGCCAUCAGAUUAAUCGCCAGCUUGUCUCUCGUUAAACCAUCAAUGCAUGCUGAUUUCUAUUGCAACCAUUAUUGGCCCCC
rnacentral:lncRNA from 13 species